GGUCCCUUCCAACCUGAACCAUUCUUCAUGUUUUUUCUUUCCCACAGCUGUUUCCCAGCCAUGCCCAGCAUGAACGCUGAUAAAAACAGCAGUGGCUGUACUUGUGUUACAUUUGAAAUCCAAACUCUUAACCUAUUUCAUUCCCCACCUCUGGUACCUUAAAAUGCAUUUUUAGAACCUUGAAAUUUCUCUUGGAUCAUGACCUGCUAAACCAAGCUGUGACAAAAAGGCUCCUUGGAUCCA